UAGAGGAAGAUAGGUAGCCUAUUAAAAUGUCAGCGGCUGUCGCGUUUGCUUAGUUGUUUUUUUUUUUAGUAUUUGUCGUCUGUACAUUUUCCGUUUGAAUUUUCUAUCAUGCAAGCCUCAGAGAUUUGGUAGAUGCUUAAUGAUGUAGAGGUUGCGUUGAAUUUUGGAUUGUUCUCUCAAGUUAGCAGGCAGGUGCACUUUUCUCUUUUACGAAGGACUUCGAGUGCACUGGGGUCAGCAUAGAUACUUGUGUGUACGUAUAUUUGUGGUUUUUGUUAUUUUUCUACUUAUAGAUGGCUAAAAUCUGAGUUUGAAAGAUGGCCACUAUAAAUUCUUAAAAAGUGGCACCGCAUUUAGCCCCCCUUCGUACCGAUUCUGUUUUCGUCUCAAGCUCUUCAUUACUACAGCGCAAGUCUACCAUUACCACACCCACACACAGAUAUUACGGCUAAUGUUUAUUAGUCAAGUUUCCAUGAGCUCACUCUUUAUUCUUUUUCUCGUUUUCUUAUACCUAGUAUGUUUUCUGACGCUUUUUGAAGUGACAGAACAAAGGAGUUUAAAUUAGAUUUGCAAACGGACGGAACUAAAUACUGUCACUUUUAUGUCUAACUUAUCGUUAACUCUGCAAAAAGAAAAUAAGAAAAAGAAAAUCAGUGGAUAGGAGUAUAUAUAGAAAUGAUUUAUUCUAGUUUUUUUUGUUUUUCAGUAGAUUUUCGCCUUCAAAGGAAUAAAUUCCAUUAAGAAAAGGUAAAAAGAAAAAUCUAUUCACUGAACUUACUGAUAGAAUUUGCAAAUGUGUCAAGUGCAUCAAGGAGAAGAUAGAGGAAAAACCUAUUAGGCAAACAAGCCAAAAGACAA
rnacentral:misc_RNA from 1 species